rnacentral:rRNA from 1 species
UGCUUGCAUUGGGGAGUAAAGUGGCGAACGGGUGAGUAACACGUUGGUGACCUGCCCCGAGUGGGGGACAACCGUGGGAAACCACGGCUAAUACCCCGGAUGUUGAGGAGUCUAGACGUCCUUAACUAAAGUACUGGCGCCUCGGGAGGGGCCUGCGGGCUAUCAGCUUGUUGGUGGGGUAAUGGCCUACCAAGGCUAAGACGGCUAGGGGGCGUGAGAGCGCGACCCCCCACAAUGGAACUGAGACACGGUCCAU